rnacentral:rRNA from 1 species
UCAUAUGCUUUYUCAAAGAUUAAGCCAUGCAUGUUCNUCAGUGCAAGCCGUCCAGUUACUGUGUUGAAACCGCGAAAGGCUCAUUAAAUCAGUUAUGGUUCCUUAGAUCGUACCCACGUUACUUGGAUAACUGUGGUAAUUCUAGAGCUAAUACAUGCCGACAGAGUUCCGACCAGCCGUUCGGAUGUGCGACGGCCUCGCGUCGUUCGUCGCCGCUCGGUUCGGAAGGAACGCUUUUAUUAGAUCAAAACCGGCUAAACGGCGGUCUCGCUCUUGCAGCGUUACCGUCGUAAGCGGCCCGCGCAAAGAUUUGGUGACUCUGAAUAACUUCGAGCUGAUCGCACGGUCUUCGUACCGGCGACGUAUCUUUCAAAUGUCUGCCUUAUCAACUGUCGACGGUAGGUUCGACGCCUACCGUGGUGGUAACGGGUAACGGGGAAUCAGGGUUCGAUUCCGGAGAGGGAGCCUGAGAAACGGCUACCACAUCCAAGGAAGGCAGCAGGCGCGCAAAUUACCCACUCCCAGCUCGGGGAGGUAGUGACGAAAAAUAACGAUACGGGACUCAUUCGAGGCCCCGUAAUCGGAAUGAGUACACUUUAAAACCUUGGUCACACGAGGAUCAAUUGAGGGCAAG